CACCAAUUUGAUUUUGAAUUCAUAUGAAAUCAUAGAAAAAAAUGGUCUGCACUGACCUCCAAACCAGUCUUAUAACAGAGCUUUUGUUUAACUUCUUCAAAUAUUUCAACAAUUGGAUAUUAGUCCAUGCUUACUCUUCAUUAUUUAAGAAAUGGAUACUUGUAAGAAAUUGUAUUUGCUAAAUUGAAACAAAUGACGUUUUGAUGACGUCGCAUGGUCACGUUUCCGUACAUUUUGCUUUUUCAGUAAACAUCUCAUCUGUUGUUAAAUACUGUGAACGUUUUGUGAAUAUCUAAAUAUUUUUACCUAUCUUGAAAGAUGUGCAUAGUAUCAAAUCAUAAAAAUACAAAUUGUUUAGUCUCUAGGAAAUCUUCUAAGAUUUCCGCUGCUAUUUGUCUAAAUAGGUGCAAUUUGGGUACCGAUGCAAAAAGAGGACGAAAGAUACCAGAGGGGAGUCAAACUCAUAUAUAGAAAAUAAACUGAAAACCCCAUGGUUAAAAAUAAAAAGACAAACAGACAAAUUAUAGUACAGAAGACACAACAUAGAAAACUAAAGACAAAGCAACAAAAACCCCACCAAAAACUUGUGGUGAUCACAGGUGCUCCGGAAGGGUAAGCAGAUACUACUCCACAUGUGGCACCCGUCGUGUUUGGUGCCGUGACGGUAGAUGCAUACAUACCGAAUCAUGCCAAGGAGCAUACGCUCAAAAGUAAAAUAAGGGUAUACAGAGAGAAAUAACUGUAAAAUAAUUAAAAAGAUUAACAUCUCCAGUUCCUAUAUUCUAUAAGUAAAGACCA
rnacentral:lncRNA from 1 species